rnacentral:rRNA from 1 species
UGAUGAAGGCUUUCGGGUCGUAAAGCACUGUUGUAUGGGAAGAAAUGCUAAAAUAGGGAAUGAUUUUAGUUUGACGGUACCAUACCAGAAAGGGACGGCUAAAUACGUGCCAGCAGCCGCGGUAAUACGUAUGUCCCGAGCGUUAUCCGGAUUUAUUGGGCGUAAAGCGAGCGCAGACGGUUGAUUAAGUCUGAUGUGAAAGCCCGGAGCUCAACUCCGGAAUGGCAUUGGAAACUGGUUAACUUGAGUGUUGUAGAGGUAAGUGGAACUCCAUGU